rnacentral:rRNA from 1 species
CCUACGGGGGGCAGCAGUGGGGAAUAUUGCACAAUGGGCGAAAGCCUGAUGCAGCGACGCCGCGUGAGCGAAGAAGGCCUUCGGGUCGUAAAGCUCUGGCCUAUGGGAAGAAAGAUGACGGUACCAUAGGAGGAAACACCGGCUAACUACGUGCCCGCAGACGCGGUAAUAGGUAGGGGGCGAGCGUUGUCCGGAAUGAGUGGGCGUAAAGGGUACGUAGGGGGCUAGAUAAGUCAGAUGUGAAGGGCAUAGGGUUAACCUGUGUAAGCAUUUGAAACUGUCUAGCUUGAGUCAAGGAGAGGAAAGUGGAAUUCCUGGUGUCGCGGUGAAAUGCGUAGAUAUCAGCAGGAAUCCCAGUGGCGAAGGCGACUUUCUGGAAUUAGACUGAGGCUGAGGUACGAAAGUGUGGGGAGCAUACAGGAUUAGAUACCCCAGUAGUC